AUUGAACGCUGGCGGCAAGCCUAACACAUGCAAGUCGAACGAGUGGCGGACGGGUGAGUAAUGUCUGUGAAACUGCCUGAUGGAGGGGGAUAACUACUGGAAACGGUAGCUAAUACCGCAUACCAUCGGAUGUGCCCAGAUGGGAUUAGCUAGUAGGUGGGUUAAAGGCUCACCUAGGCGACGAUCCCUAGCUGGUCUGAGAGGAUGACCAGCCACACUGAAACAUAGACACGGUCCAGACGCCUACGGGAGGAAGGAGGGGGGAAUAUUGCGAAAUGGGAGCAAGCCUGAUGCAGCCAUGCCGCGUGUAUGAAGAGGGCCUUCAGGUUUUAAAGUACUUUCAGCGGGGAGGCGUUACCCGCAGAAGAAGCACCGGCUAACUCCGUGCCAGCAGCCGCGGUAAUAC
rnacentral:rRNA from 1 species